rnacentral:rRNA from 1 species
GACGAACGCUGGCGGCGUGCCUAAUACAUGCAAGUCGAGCGCAGGAAGCCGUCCGAACCCUUCGGGGGGACGACGGUGGAAUGAGCGGCGGACGGGUGAGUAACACGUAAAGAACCUGCCCAUAGGUCUGGGAUAACCACGAGAAAUCGGGGCUAAUACCGGAUGUGUCAUCGGACCGCAUGGUCCGCUGAUGAUAGGCGCUCCGGCGUCGCCCAUGGAUGGCUUUGCGGUGCAUUAGCUAGUUGGUGGGGUAACGGCCCACCAAGGCGACGAUGAAUAGCCGACCUGAGAGGGUGGUCGGCCACACUGGGACUGAGACACGGCCCAGACUCCUACGGGAGGCAGCAGUAGGGAAUCUUCCACAAUGGACGAAAGUCUGAUGGAGCAACGCCGCGUGAACGAUGAAGGCUUUCGGGUCGUAAAGUUCUGUUGUGAGGGAAGAACAAGUGCCGCAGGCAAUGGCGGCACCUUGACGGUACCUUGCGAGAAAGCCACGGCUAACUACGUGCCAGCCGCCGCCGUAA